UGAUUAUAGUGUACAAUAAUA
rnacentral:piRNA from 1 species